GAUGAACGCUGGCGGCGUGCCUAAUACAUGCAAGUCGAGCGAACGGACGAGAAGCUUGCUUCUCUGAUGUUAGCGGCGGACGGGUGAGUAACACGUGGAUAACCUACCUAUAAGACUGGGAUAACUUCGGGAAACCGUAGCUAAUACCGGAUAAUAUUUUGAACCGCAUGGUUCAAAAGUGAAAGACGGUCUUGCUGUCACUUAUAGAUGGAUCCGCGCUGCAUUAGCUAGUUGGUAAGGUAACGGGUUACCAAGGCAACGAUGCAUAGCCGACCUGAGAGGCGGAUCGGCCACACUGGAACUGAGACACGGUCCAGACUCCUACGGGAGGCAGCAGUAGGGAAUCUUCCGCAAUGGGCGAGAGCCUGACGGAGCAGCGCCGCGUGAGUGAUGAAGGUCUUCGGAUCGUAAAACUCUGUUAUUAGGGAAGAACAUAUGUGUAAGUAACUGUGCACAUCGUGACGGUACCUAAUCAGAAAGCCACGGCUAACUACGUG
rnacentral:rRNA from 1 species